CUAUGCCUACGGGGGGCAGCAGUCGGGAAUAUUGCACAAUGGAGGAAACUCUGAUGCAGUGACACCGCGUAUAGGAAGAAGGUUUUCGGAUUGUAAACUAUUUUAGACAGGGAAGAAAAAAGACAGUACCUGUAGAAUAAGCUCCGGCUAACUACGUGCCAGCAGCCGCGGUAAUACGUAGGGAGCAAGCGUUAUCCGGAAUUACUGGGUGUAAAGGGAGCGUAGACGGCGAUGCAAGCCAGAUGUGAAAGCCCGGGGCUCAACCCCGGGACUGCAUUUGGAACUGUGUGGCUGGAGUGUCGGAG
rnacentral:rRNA from 1 species